CCUGGUUAAUCCUGUCAGUAGCAUAUGCUUGUCUCAAAGAUUAAGCCAUGCACAUGUAAGUACACACGGCCAGUACAGUGAAACUGCGAAUGGCUCAUUAAAUCGGGUCAGAACAAUUUUAGUCUAACUUUUGGGAAGUCGAACCUUUGGGUUCGGUAAAAUCCCUUAAAUCAGUUAUGGUUCCUUUGAUCACUGGAUCUGUUACUUGAAUAACUCUGGUAAUUCUAGAGCUAAUACAUGCAGACAAGCACGGACCUCCCAAAAUGCAUGCAUUUAUCAGACCGAGACCAAUCCUGGGCCGAUGCAUUUGGAUGUCUGCCCUAUCAACUUUCGAUGAUACUUUCUGUGCCUUCCAUGGUGACCACGGGUAAUGGGGAAUCGGGGUUUGAUUCCGUAGAAGUAGCCUGAGAAACUGAUAUCACAUCCAAGGAAGGCAACAGGCAUGCAGAUUACCCACUCCCGACACCAGUGACGAAAAAUAACAAUACAGAACUCUUUCGAGGCACUUAAAUUGGAAUGAGUACACUUUAAAUCCUUUGACAAGUACCCAUUGGAGGGGAAGUCUGGUGCCAGAAGCCGCAGUAAUUCCAGCUCCAAUAGCGUAUAUUAAAGUUGCUGCAGUUAAAAAGGUUGUAGUUGGAUCUUGGGAUGGAGCGGCCGGUCUGCCGCAAGGCAAACUACCGCCUGUCCCAGCCCCUGCCUCUCGGGCCCCCCUGAUGCUCUUGACUGAGUGUCCGGGGGGUCCGAAGCAUUUACUUUGAAAAAAUUAGAGUGUUCAAAGCAGGCCGGUUGCCUGAAUACUUCAGCUAGGAAUAAUGGAAUAUGACUCUGGUUCUAUUUUGUUGGUUUUCGGAGCUGGGGCCAUUAUUAAGAGGGACGGCGGGGGCAUUCGUAUUGUACCUAUACAGGUGAAAUCCUUGGACCGGCGCAAGACAAACCAAAGCGAAAGCAUUACCCAAGAAUGUUUUCAUUAAUCAGGAAUGAAAGUCUGAGGUUAGAAGACGAUCCGAUACAGUCGUAGUUCCGACCAAAAACGAUGCCGACUAGCGAUCUGGCAGCCAAUCCGUUUCCAAGAAACCAAAGUCUUAGGGUUCUGAGGGGAGUAUGGUUGCAAAGCUGAAACUUAGGGCACCACCAGGAGUGGAGCCUGUGGCUUAAUUUGACUCCACACUGGAAACCUCACCCUGCCCGGACACAGAAAGGAUUAACAGAUUUAUAGCUCUUUCUUGAUUCUGUGGGUGGUGGUGCAUGGGCGUUCUUAGUUGGUGGAGCGAUAUGUCUGGUUAAUUCCGAUAACGAACGAGACUCCUCCAUGCUAACUAGUUACGCGACCCCCCCCAGCGGUCGGCGUUCAACUUCUUAGAGGGAUAAGUGGCGUUCAGCCACACGAGAUCAAGCUAAAACAGGUCUGUGAUGCCCUUAGAUGUCCGGGGCUGCACGCGCGCUACACUGAAUGGAUCAGCGUGUGUCUACCCUUCGCCAACAGGUGCGGCUAACCCUGUUCAUUAUAGGGAUUGGGGAUUGCAAUUUUUUCCGAUGAACGAGGAAUUCCCAGUAAGUGCGGAUCAUAAGCUUGCAUUAAGUCCCUGUCCUUUGUACACACUGCCCGUCGCUACUACCGAUUGGACAGUUUAGUGAGGUCCUCGGAUCGGCCCCGCCGGGGUCAGCAACGGCCCUAGUGGAGCGGCGAGAAGACAAUCAAACUUGACUAUCUAGAGAAAGUAAGUCAUACGGAUUGGGUUAAAUUGCCGGGGACAU
rnacentral:rRNA from 1 species